AGAGUUUGAUCAUGGCUCAGGACGAACGCUGGCGGCGUGCUUAACACAUGCAAGUCGAACGGUGAACUCCGCUUGCGGGGGGAUCAGUGGCGAACGGGUGAGUAACACGUGGGCAACCUGCCCCUGGCUCUGGGAUAACUCCAAGAAAUUGGGGCUAAUACCGGAUGUGACCGCUGACCGCAUGGUCUGGUGGUGGAAAGUUUUUCGGCUGGGGAUGGGCCCGCGGCCUAUCAGCUUGUUGGUGGGGUAGUGGCCUACCAAGGCGACGACGGGUAGCCGGCCUGAGAGGGUGACCGGCCACACUGGGACUGAGACACGGCCCAGACUCCUACGGGAGGCAGCAGUGGGGAAUAUUGCGCAAUGGGCGGAAGCCUGACGCAGCGACGCCGCGUGGGGGAUGACGGCCUUCGGGUUGUAAACCUCUUUCAGCAGGGACGAAGCCUUUGGUGACGGUACCUGCAGAAGAAGCACCGGCCAACUACGUGCCAGCAGCCGCGGUAAUACGUAGGGUGCAAGCGUUGUCCGGAAUUAUUGGGCGUAAAGAGCUCGUAGGCGGUUUGUCGCGUCGGCUGUGAAAACCUGAGGCUCAACCUCAGGCCUGCAGUCGAUACGGGCAGACUUGAGUGUUGCAGGGGAGACUGGAAUUCCUGGUGUAGCGGUGAAAUGCGCAGAUAUCAGGAGGAACACCGGUGGCGAAGGCGGGUCUCUGGGCAACAACUGACGCUGAGGAGCGAAAGCGUGGGGAGCGAACAGGAUUAGAUACCCUAGUAGUCC
rnacentral:rRNA from 1 species